CGGAACGUAGCUCAGUUGAGCGAGAGCGCCGCGUUUGGGACGCGGAGGCCGCAGGUGCAAGUCCUGUCGUUCCGA
rnacentral:tRNA from 1 species